GCUGUAGCUCGGUGGUGGGGCAUCUGCCUUGCAUGCAGAAGGUUGUAGGUUCAAUCCCCAGCAUCUCCA